rnacentral:rRNA from 1 species
GACGAACGCUGGCGGCGUGCCUAAUACAUGCAAGUCGUGCGGACCUUGUUGAAAGCUUGCUUUUAAAAGGUUAGCGGCGGACGGGUGGGUAACACGUGGGCAACCUGCCUGUAAGACUGGGAUAACGCCGGGAAACCGGGGCUAAUACCAGAUCGUUUUUUCCUCCGCAUGGAGGAAAAAGGAAAGGCGGCUUCGGCUGCCACUUACAGAUGGGCCCGCGGCGCAUUAGCUAGUUGGCGGGGUAAUGGCCCACCAAGGCAACGAUGCGUAGCCGACCUGAGAGGGUGAUCGGCCACAUUGGGACUGAGACACGGCCCAAACUCCUACGGGAGGCAGCAGUAGGGAAUCUUCCGCAAUGGACGAAAGUCUGACGGAGCAACGCCGCGUGAGUGAAGAAGGCCUUCGGGUCGUAAAACUCUGUUGCCGGGGAAGAACAAGUGCCGUUCGAACAGGGCGGCGCCUUGACGGUACCCGGCCAGAAAGCCACGGCUAACUACGUG